rnacentral:miRNA from 1 species
UGAGGCAGAGAAUUGCUUGAACCCAGGAAGUGGAGAUUGCAGUGAGCCGAGAUCGUGCCACUGCACUCCAGCCUGGGUGACAGAGCAAGACUCCAUCUC